rnacentral:rRNA from 1 species
CCAAAAAUGGGUACACCUUUAAAGACCGUUUUGAUAUGGUGUAUAUUUGAUGCGCAUGUGGAAGAUAUAUGGGAUUAUAUGAACACCCAGCUCUGAGAUUUUUGCAUUUAAGCAAUUAAGACCAAGAUAACAUGCUUUUAAUGUCAUAAAAAGUGCCAGCAGUCGCGGUCACACUUUUGUUGGGAAUCAAAUACUACUAAUAGAAUAUAUAUUAUAUUAAAAUACACUGUGGUGAAAUAUUCAACUGCUUUACACCUUAAAAUAAAUAUUCUCCUACUGGUUUCAAACAAGGAUUAGAUACCCUUCUAUGCAGUACUUUAACAAAUUCUAAGCAGUAAUACCAUAAGGGUUCAAACUUAAAUAUCAUGGCGGUACUUCUAAUAUUUAGGGGAACUUACUCCGUAAUUGAUAACCACCAAGAUAAUUAACUUUACGUAAUAUUUUGUAUGCCGUCGUCGCGAUAAAAUUUAAUAUAUUAUCAUAAUGUACAGCACACUAUGACAGAUCAAGGUGCAGACAACCGUAAUGUGUGAGCGAGUUACAAUAGGUUUUUUCUUCGGAUAAUAGUAGCAUGUUAAUUAAAUGUAGGACUUAAAUGUAAAGUAUAUUAUAAAUAUUUAUUGAAUAUUUUGGAAUUGUGC